UACGAAGGGGGCUAGCGUUGUUCGGAAUUACUGGGCGUAAAGGGCGCGUAGGCGGUGUGUCAAGUCAGGCGUGAAAGCCCCGGGCUCAACCUGGGAACCGCGCUUGAGACUGGCACGCUCGAGUUCGGGAGAGGAUGGUGGAAUUCCCAGUGUAGAGGUGAAAUUCGUAGAUAUUGGGAAGAACACCGAUGGCGAAGGCAGCCAUCUGGACCGACAUUGACGCUGAGGCGCGAAAGCGUGGGGAGCAAACAGG
rnacentral:rRNA from 1 species